rnacentral:rRNA from 1 species
AGUUUGAUCCUGGCUCAGAACGAACGCUGGCGGCAGGCUUAAUACAUGCAAGUCGAACGCACUCUUCGGAGUGAGUGGCAGACGGGUGAGUAACGCGUGGGAACAUGCCCCUCGGUACGGAAUAGCCCCGGGAAACUGGGUGUAAUACCGUAUACGACCUCAGGGUGAAAGAUUUAUCGCCGAGGGAUUGGCCCGCGUUAGAUUAGCUUGUUGGUGGGGUAAUGGCCUACCAAGGCGACGAUCUAUAGCUGGUCUGAGAGGAUGGCCAGCCACACUGGGACUGAGACACGGCCCAGACUCCUACGGGAGGCAGCAGUAGGGAAUCUUGGACAAUGGGCGAAAGCCUGAUCCAGCCAUGCCGCGUGAGUGAAGAAGGCCUUAGGGUUGUAAGACUCUUUCGCCGGUGAAGAUAAUGACGGUAGCCGGAGAAGAAGCCCCGGCUAACUUCGUG